rnacentral:lncRNA from 1 species
CUGUGAAAGACAGAGGCAGAAAGAGGAAGUCACCUUGUGAUAAUCUGGUCAUUGGGAAAGGUACAGAGAGAAGUCGAGCUAUACUUCUUACAUUAAAUACAUUUUUAUGGAUGUUUGAUGAGGGGCCAGAAAGUGUUACCCAAUGAACCUCCAUGGUACCAAAUACAAUCAAGCUUGUCCCAGAAGAUUCCAGAACCAUUUGGUUUUCUGUCACCACUGAAAUCAACCUUUCCUUCGUGGUGCAUAAAAAAACAACUC